CCUUAGUUUGCCAUGUGCUUUUGUCAGGUAGUGAGUGCAGUUGUCUCCUGCUGUUUCCAUGAGUUUUAUUCUGUGUUGAGUUCAGUGUGCAGCAAAUAGAACAGAUGCUUCAGAAUGCCUCAGACUGCACAUUUUCAUGCUUGUGCUAGCAGUUGUGGGCCUGCGUAUGAGGUACCAAUACAUCUGAACCUGGAUGCAGGACUGCCUGUUGGACCAUACAAAACCAGAUGAGGAACUUGGUAUUCUGCUGCAGAAUACACUGGGUUUUAUUCAAGGUUUGUGGAGCCAGAGAUGGACAUAACACCCUGCAGUGGUGCAUUAAAGGAGCUUAGGACAAUGCUGGAAGACAUUAAUGGCUUGGAGAAGUGACAUCCAGUGAUUUGAGGGCAUGCAGAAUUUACAAAACUUACAAAAUUAUGGAAAUGAAUAAAUAAAUAAAUAAAUUAAUUAAUUAAUUAAUUAAUUAAUAGGGAAAGUAGUUCAUAAAUCAGAAGGAUUAUUUAAUAUCUAAAGCCUGGAGAAAAAAUUCUAUAGCAUAUAUAUAGCCAAAUUACCUAGUAUAAAUCAAAGAUGGAUAUAAUAAUGUUAAACUGCACUAGCAUCUUAAAUAAUUGCCAUUAAGUAGAAUAUUACUAGAAGCAAAGUGUGUUUAAAUGAGUGGAUUAAAAAAUCCAUUCAUAAAUUACAGGUAAAUUUUUACAAAUGCCUGAACAAAGCAGUGCUCGGCAAAACUUUUGAUGAAGUACAAAAGUGCAGCACCAUAUAGUCAUAAAAUCUUGGUUUUAAUGACAUUUGUAGAAUCCACAUUGUUGUUUUCCCACACCUUUCAGUGAAUGGUUGACAGAAACAUUGAGCAGAGCUCAAGGUAUGCAAACCUAAAGGGUUCUGUUUAAAUUGAGUGCACCAUUAUACUGUAUUAUAAUUAUUAUUAUUCUUCACUGACAUAUUUAUAUUAUUGUCAUUAAAUGAAUACACAUUUACAUGCAUACAAAAAAGUAUACCUGAACAGCCUUCAUUUGUAGUUCUUUUGCAGAAAUGCCUAAAGGUUAAUUUUGGGCAACCAUGCUGGAGCAGCAAAUGCGAAUAGCUGGUGAGAGCAGGAGAAAUAAACAUACUAAAUGAAGUAAAUACUCAAAUGCAACCAUUUAUUUAAAGGGAAUGUGUAGAACAUCCUGAUUCAUUAGUGUUACGGUCACAACUUCACCAGACCUUUAACUGAUUAGAAAUUCAAUUGCCACCUUGCAAAUGUGUCACGUGAAACAUGCAUCUAUGCUGUUAGAAUACUAGACCUGAUUUGGGCACAAAAUUUGCCUAAAUGUAAUUCCACCUAAAAGAAGCAUACCAAAUGUAUUAUUGCAACUGCUCAGUAUGUUCAAUUUAAGACCAGCUCAUGGCUCUUUCUUUCUCUCACUCCUUUAGUUCACUUCUCAUUUGUUGGCUCCUUUUGUUUGCUUCUUGUUCCCUUCAAAAAAGGUGUUUUUGUGUGUGCAAAUUGUUACAUUACACAUCCCUCAUCUUGGAGGCAAAUUUUAUACCUCUAUUUAAUUUACCUAUUAAUGACUUUCUGAUUUGGAUGGCAACAUUCUUCCAUGUACAGCAUGUGGUGCUUGCAUUUCAACUUGUGGCUCACUCAUGACCCCAUUCCCACUGGUAAAUCUGGUUUGUAUUAUUAAACAGAUCACAUUAACUAGUUAAGUAAUCAAUCAGGUCAACCAGGGCCCACAAUAAGCAGAAAAUGGCAGAAAAUAGCCAGAGCUCUUCUGGGCCUCUGAUGGGUCAUUGCUCAAAGUCCUCUCAGUGGCACACAAUAAAGUAAAAUAUCUUUUGUGGAUUGUUCUGCUCUCAUCACACACCACUGACUCCUCUGAUCAGUCGGGCGCGUGCAGUCUGCCUGUGCUGGCUGUAUGUGACGUGUGCUCCACUGACACGUUGACUGCACAGCUCAGCUAGCUGACAGCAGAGAGAAAAAAAGCAAGCCACUGGCAGCCCACAUUUUAGAUUGAACAAACUGUGCAGUGGUAGCUAUCCAGUUUGGGUUUACUAUUAAUAUCAUUACUAUUAAUCCCUAGCUAGAUAGCUACUGUACCACCACAGUUUUUUCUCCAUCUAAAAUGCAGGCUGCCAAUCACUGCUUUCUUCUGUCUGCUGUCAACCAGCUGAGCUGCUGAGCUGUGGGUAUUAAUAUCACACCAUUAAUAUUUAUGAUAAUUAUGUGA